rnacentral:SRP_RNA from 1 species
ACUGAUGGAAACCAUUCUAAACAGCUAGUGAAUUGCUUGAGUUCAGGAGUUCUGAGCCUCAGUGAGGCUAAAGCCAAUUGGGUGUCUGCACUAAAUCUGGCACCAAUAUGGUGGACCUUUGAGAGAGAGGUACCACCAGGCUGCUCAAGGAGAGGCAAACCGGCCCAGGUUAGAAACAGAGCAGGUCAAAGCUUCUGUGCUGAUCAGCAGUGGGUUGGGCACAUGAGUGGCUACUGUGCUUCCACCUUGGUUGAGAUAGCAUUU